CAGUCGCCGCGGUAAUGCGAAGGGUGCAAGCGUUAUUCGGAAUUACUGGGCGUAAAGCGUGCGCAGGCGGUUAUGCAGGACAGAUGUGAAAUCCCCGGGCUCAACCUGGGAACUGCAUUUGUGACUGCAUGACUAGAGUACGGCAGAGGGGGAUGGAAUUCCGCGUGUAGCAGUGAAAUGCGUAGAUAUGCGGAGGAACACCGAUGGCGAAGGCAAUCCCCUGGGCCUGUACUGACGCUCAUGCACGAAAGCGUGGGGAGCAGACAGGAUUAGAUACCCCCGUAGUCCCUGUCUCUUAUAU
rnacentral:rRNA from 1 species